AGAGUUUGAUCAUGGCUCAGAGCGAACGCUGGCGGCAGGCCUAACACAUGCAAGUCGAACGAACUCUUCGGAGUUAGUGGCGGACGGGUGAGUAACACGUGGGAACGUGCCUUUUGGUUCGGAAUAACUCAGGGAAACUUGUGCUAAUACCGAAUGUGCCCUUCGGGGGAAAGAUUUAUCGCCAUUAGAGCGGCCCGCGUCUGAUUAGCUAGUUGGUGAGGUAACGGCUCACCAAGGCGACGAUCAGUAGCUGGUCUGAGAGGAUGAUCAGCCACACUGGGACUGAGACACGGCCCAGACUCCUACGGGAGGCAGCAGUGGGGAAUCUUGCGCAAUGGGCGAAAGCCUGACGCAGCCAUGCCGCGUGAAUGAUGAAGGUCUUAGGAUUGUAAAAUUCUUUCACCGGGGACGAUAAUGACGGUACCCGGAGAAGAAGCCCCGGCUAACUUCGUGCCAGCAGCCGCGGUAAUACGAAGGGGGCUAGCGUUGCUCGGAAUUACUGGGCGUAAAGGGCGCGUAGGCGGAUCGUUAAGUCAGGGGUGAAAUCCCGGGGCUCAACCUCGGAAUCGCCCUUGAUACUGGCGAUCUUGAGUAUGAGAGAGGUAUGUGGAACUCCGAGUGUAGAGGUGAAAUUCGUAGAUAUUCGGAAGAACACCAGUGGCGAAGGCGACAUACUGGCUCAUUACUGACGC
rnacentral:rRNA from 1 species